rnacentral:rRNA from 1 species
UUAUUGAUUAUGACGUACUUGUACUGAUUGAGAUUUUAACACGAAGUGAGUGGCGAACGGGUGAGUAACACGUGGGUAACCUGCCCAGAAGUAGGGGAUAACACCUGGAAACAGAUGCUAAUACCGUAUAACAGAGAAAACCGCAUGGUUUUCUUUUAAAAGAUGGCUCUGCUAUCACUUCUGGAUGGACCCGCGGCGUAUUAGCUAGUUGGUGAGGUAAAGGCUCACCAAGGCAGUGAUACGUAGCCGACCUGAGAGGGUAAUCGGCCACAUUGGGACUGAGACACGGCCCAGACUCCUACGGGAGGCAGCAGUAGGGAAUCUUCCACAAUGGACGCAAGUCUGAUGGAGCAACGCCGCGUGAGUGAAGAAGGGUUUCGGCUCGUAAAGCUCUGUUGUUAAAGAAGAACGUGGGUAAGAGUAACUGUUUACCCAGUGACGGUAUUUAACCAGAAAGCCACGGCUAACUACGUGCCAGCAGCCGCGGUAAUACGUAGGUGGCAAGCGUUAUCCGGAUUUAUUGGGCGUAAAGCGAGCGCAGGCGGUCUUUUAAGUCUAAUGUGAAAGCCUUCGGCUCAACCGAAGAAGUGCAUUGGAAACUGGGAGACUUGAGUGCAGAAGAGGACAGUGGAACUCCAUGUG